ensembl:lncRNA
CGCGCUGUUCAGCUUUGGCUCCUUGCUUUGUGCUUUUUGUGAUCCUGUUUUUGCGCCGUUCUAGACCAGCUCCUACCUCCCCGGAAUCCUGGUUUCCGCCAUCUAGAAUUCUUCUAGACAAUCCAGACUGGGCCAUUCUGGAUCAGCUUGGUCUCCCUCUGUUCUCACUCCUGUCCAAACUGGUUCACUUCCUCCUGCCUCUCCAUUGCCAGAACCCAGCUUCCGCCACACCGUCUCCGACGCCAGCUGCCGGCUACGCCCACGCCAGCCACAAACAGCGGCAGCCGCCAUUCCACCGUGGAACGCCAGCCACUCCAUCAGCUAAAUCUGCUGGUUCAACCAAACAUCUCCGUGUCUCCGUCCCAUGAUGAAGUCCAGCAGCAGAAGGUUAAGGUCCUCAUGGGCUCCAACUUCAGCAUCAUCUGCUCCACCAGGCCUCAGUAUCCAGGAGGUUCCUUCCAGCUCGUCUUCACCUCCUCCAGCACAACGUUCAACUACGUCCUUCCAACUGUCACACAUUGGGCCGUUUUCCUGUUUCCUGCUGCAGAAGACCUCCACAGAGGGACGUACACCUGUAUUUACCACCUCAACGUUUUCUCCUAUAACUUCUCCUCCACCAGCCAGUCCAUCUAUCUCAUCCCCUCAGCUCCUCUAAUGGAUUUGAUCAUCAGACUUGUCGUCCACCUGCUGGUGAUGGUUCUUCUCAUCACUGUCACCUGCUUCUACUCUGGAAAACUCUCUGUAGAAACCAGAAGCAGAAAUGAAGAAACAAACGUCCUCACUGACCUCCAGUGAUCCACGAUUUACCAAGAAAAAUCCAGAAAGUUAUCUGUCUGGUUUUGUACAUAAAAUAAACUUUCAUCUAGAAGGGAAACAACAACAACUUCUACAGAAAACAACAACAUUACAGCUGAUUUAAAUACAGGAAAAAAUACAGUCAAGUUGUAAAAAUACUGAUUUUUAAUGUGGACGUUAUUUACAGUUUUGGCUUUUUUAUGGCCUACGUGUAAAUUAAUACCAUUUUUCAGUGAUUUUAAUAGAUAUUAUCUGUAAUGUAACAAAACUUAGAAAAUUUGUAAAAUAAUAGUUUAAAAAAAUGCAUUUUUUUAGUUCCUCAUUGGUAAUUU